rnacentral:tRNA from 1 species
GUGAGUAUAGUUUAAAAAAAACACUAGAUUGUGACUCUAGAAACAGAAACUUAACCCUCUUACACACC